rnacentral:rRNA from 1 species
AUUGAACGCUGGCGGAAUGCUUUACACAUGCAAGUCGAACGGCAGCACGGACUUCGGUCUGGUGGCGAGUGGCGAACGGGUGAGUAAUGUAUCGGAACGUGCCCAGUCGUGGGGGAUAACGUAGUGAAAAUUACGCUAAUACCGCAUACGACCUAUGGAUGAAAGCGGGGGAUCGCAAGACCUCGCGCGAUUGGAGCGGCCGAUAUCAGAUUAGGUAGUUGGUGGGGUAAAGGCCCACCAAGCCAACGAUCUGUAGCUGGUCUGAGAGGACGACCAGCCACACUGGAACUGGGACACGGUCUAGACUCCUACGGGAGGCAGCAGUGGGGAAUUUUGGACAGUGGGCGAAAGCCUGAUCCAGCCAUUCCGCGUGCAGGAUGAAGGCCCUCGGGUUGUAAACUGCUUUUGUACAGAACGAAAAGGUUUCUACUAAUACUAGGAGCUCAUGACGGUACUGUAAGAAUAAGCACCGGCUAACUACGUGCCAGCCGCCGCCGUAA